rnacentral:rRNA from 1 species
CCUACGGGGGGCAGCAGUGGGGAAUAUUGGGCAAUGGGCGCAAGCCUGACCCAGCAACGCCGCGUGAAGGAAGAAGGCUUUCGGGUUGUAAACUUCUUUUAAGGGGGAAGAGCAGAAGACGGUACCCCUUGAAUAAGCCACGGCUAACUACGUGCCAGCAGCCGCGGUAAUACGUAGGUGGCAAGCGUUGUCCGGAUUUACUGGGUGUAAAGGGCGUGCAGCCGGAGAGACAAGUCAGAUGUGAAAUCCACGGGCUCAACCCGUGAAAUGCAUUUGAAACUGUUUCCCUUGAGUGUCGGAGGGGUAAUCGGAAUUCCUUGUGUAGCGGUGAAAUGCGUAGAGAUAAGGAAGAACACCAGUGGCGAAGGCGGAUUACUGGACGAUAACUGACGGUGAGGCGCGAAAGCGUGGGGAGCAAACAGGAUUAGAUACCCCUGUAGUC